rnacentral:rRNA from 1 species
UACGUAGGUGGCGAGCGUUAUCCGGAAUUAUUGGGCGUAAAGAGCGCGCAGGUGGUUGAUUAAGUCUGAUGUGAAAGCCCACGGCUUAACCGUGGAGGGUCAUUGGAAACUGGUCGACUUGAGUGCAGAAGAGGGAAGUGGAAUUCCAUGUGUAGCGGUGAAAUGCGUAGAUAUUAGGAGGAACACCAGUUGCGAAGGCGGCUCUCUGGCCUGAUACUGACGCUGAGGCGCGAAAGCGUGGGGAGCAAACAGGAUUAGA